CUAGAAUUCUAUCUUCCUUCAUUUUACAUCUCUCUAACCAAUCUUCUGUCCCUUUCUCUAACUCAGAGUUCUCUUCUUUUAUUUAAUUCAUCAUGCUAUGAAACCAUGAAUCCAAUUUCUAUUCUCGGCAGGAUGAAUCGUGAGCCGAAAUUAAAAGAAACCCAAACAACCAAUCUUUCAGCAGAAAUCGAAAACCCUACCUCAAAAUCAAAACCCAUGUUUCAGCAGAAAUCAGAGGCACACUUUGUAAUCUAAGAUCUACUUGCUUUGCUCCUGAAAUCAUCAAGUGAUCUCAAUCUUGUUCUUCUUUCAUAAAUUUGAUAGCUUUUAGUAUUAUUAACGAUUUUGAUUUCUCUUUAUUUUCUCUCGAUUUUGUAGUAAGGUGUUUCCACUUUUUAUUUUUCUCUACAAGAGAACUCCUCAAGAGGGUUGUAGAUCUCUUCUCCCAGUUCUUUUAGGUUGAGAAAUUGUCUGUAAGUUCAUAAAGAAGCGUUUAACCGCAUCAUGAUUGGUAAUAGUUUUAUGCCACAUGGUCUUGGGCAUAUCUUAGGCAGACACACAUGAUCUUCGUGUACCUUAAGCAACAGGCCAGCAUGUCAAACCUUGCUGAGGAAAGGAAAAAAAAUAACUGCUUCAGCUUGUGAACUUAACAAGGGCCGAGUGAAAUGAUUAGAGGACAGCGUCAAAUACUUUGGAGCUUCUAGUAUCCUUUCCAAAUCUUUUUUUUAAUAGCCAAUUUAUUUAUCAUUUUCGUUAAUUGUAAUGUUCUAAUUUGGGAUACACACACAUGUCCUUGUAUUUUUGCAGCUUUGUGUGCAUCCUUCAAGAAAAGUUAGACAAGGACUUGUAUCUGCUAUUGGUGGAUUAUUAUCAGUGUGCACGAUUCUAUUGAAUGUUCCCUUAUGCUGGAAGAGAAAGAACUUAUAGAAUUGAAAUUGCUGAGAUAUUAACAGUCUCAGAUCUAAGUAAGAAUUUGUGACGAGAUGGUUGAAGGACUUCUGAAAGUGGUGCUUGGAAAUGAAGAACCUAUUGCGUUGUCCAAUGCUGCAGUUAUGUAAUAUGCAGGCCUUCAACUUCUAGGGGACCAUGUUUUUCAAUCUCCUGGAUCUUAAAAUGUUAUAGAAAGCUUAUUGACCUAUCAGUUUCUGACUAAAAACCAAGUGCAGAAACUUCCUAUUUCAAGUGUUGCAAAUUCCUCUUCUUCAAAGUCACCACCUGACAAGGCCUGGGACCAUGGAGAAGCAUUUUGGGUCAAGUGCAACAACUUCCUAUUUCAACAUUACAUUGCUAAAUUAUCCAAAUUUUAGGUGGUUGAUAGAAGUUUGUUUAGGCCUGAAUUGAAGGGACCUUCAAGUUACAGCAGCAGGCGGCAAUCAAUAAUUCAUUUUUCAAGCUGAUGUUGCCGGUGCAUGUUCUUGUGGGAUUCUUAGACAAACUCUUACACCAGAUCUGUUCACCCUCUUAUCGAAUAACAACAUAAGCAGUAGGUAUGUGAUUCUAAGGUGUGCGGCUCAGUCCGUCAUCAGAUAGUUAGUCCGUCAUCAGAUAGUUAAUUAGAUAGUUGGUUUUCUCUAAUCUCUAAGAAAACUUAGAGCUUGUAUUGGUCAUAUUUCAGGUUUUGUUUCAAUUUUUUGGUGAUUCUGAAUCCAAUUAUCAACUGAAAUCAGCUUUGAUCAGUUUAUUGUAGUAUAAUGAAUUCUAAGAUUAUUAGAUAGUUAGUUUGCCCUAAUCUCUAAGAAAACUUAGAGCUUGUAUUGGUCAUAUUUCAGGUUUUGUUUCAAUUUUUUGGUGAUUCUGAAUCCAAUUGCCAACAAAUCAGCUUUGAUCA